rnacentral:rRNA from 1 species
AGGAUAAACGCUGGCGGCGUGCCUAACACAUGCAAGUCGAACGUCUCUUUCUUCGGGAAGAGGAGUGGCGGACGGGUGAGGAACACGUGGGAACCUGCCCUACAGUGAGGAAUACCGGCGAGAAAUCGCCGACAAGACCGCAUAGCCCUCUCUGGUGAGAGCCAGAGAAGGAAAGCUUCGCAAGAGGCGCUGGAGGAGGGGCCUGCGUCCGAUUAGCUAGUUGGUGGGGUAAGAGCCUACCAAGGCGUCGAUCGGUAGCUGGUCUGAGAGGACGAUCAGCCACACUGGGAUUGAGAACGGCCCAGACUCCUACGGGGGGCAGCAGUGAGGAAUUUUCGGCAAUGGGGGAAACCCUGACCGAGCAACGCCGCGUGCAGGAAGACGGCCUUCGGGUGUAAACUGCUUUCUUUGGGACGAGCAAGGACGGUACCAGAGGAAUCAGCCCCGGCUCACUACGUGCCAGCAGCCGC